rnacentral:rRNA from 1 species
UGAGUUUGAUCAUGGCUCAGAUUGAACGCUGGCGGCAGGCCUAACACAUGCAAGUCGAGCGGUAACAGGACUAGCUUGCUAGUUGCUGACGAGCGGCGGACGGGUGCGUAACACGUAGGAAUCUGCCCGGUAGUGGGGGAUAGCCCGGAGAAAUCCGGAUUAAUACCGCAUACGCCUUACGAGGGAAAGGAGGGGCCUCUUCGGAGCCUUUCGCUAUCGGAUGAGCCUGCGUCGGAUUAGCUAGUUGGUGGGGUAAAGGCCUACCAAGGCGACGAUCCGUAGCUGGUCUGAGAGGAUGAUCAGCCACACUGGGACUGAGACACGGCCCAGACCCCUACGGGAGGCAGCAGUGGGGAAUAUUGCACAAUGGGGGAAACCCUGAUGCAGCCAUGCCGCGUGUGUGAAGAAGGCUCUAGGGUUGUAAAGCACUUUCAGCGAGGAGGAAAGGUUGCUGGUUAAUACCCAGCGGCUGUGACGUUACUCGCAGAAGAAGCACCGGCUAACUCCGUGCCAGCAGCCGCGGUAAUACGGAGGGUGCGAGCGUUAAUCGGA